CCGCUCUCUAUGGUCCUCCGGCCGUCACGUGACUCGGGCCACAUUUGAAGAGGAGAUUUGGAAAAAGGAACGCUUAUGCAGGACAACGGGGACAGCAGGAUGUCAGGAGAGGAUGAGACCAUUUCAUAAGGUAGUUAAGCACCUCCCGUUAUGGAGAAAAAAGUGCCUGCAUUUCCAGUGGUCAAGAGCAACGCAACAUGAGCUCAGAGGAAAUGUGCAAAGAGUACCUACCUACUUCCUCCUGAAGACUACCUACAGCAGUGAGGACCCUGCCGCCAACCCAGAAAGCUGACCGUAUAUACGGACUCCAAAGAGAAUUCCAGAUAUAAAUAUUUACAACACUUUUGAAACUGCGCACAUGCUGGAAGAUUCAAACCUGCCACGAAGUUGUUCGGUCUCCAUCAAAUCCACCUGGACGGAUCCAGACCUAUGCUGAGCCAAACUAAAGCUGUGCUCCGGCCAUCCCGGUUUUCUUGAAGACUCUUUUGGGAGCCGUUUGGGAGCCGUUUGACUGAAUCAAUUUAAGGAUUGUGAUGAGCCAGCCUACAAGAGAUCCCAUGACCAAGAUCACAGAAGAUCAUGGGUCUAGCUACCUGUGGAGUCCACGGCAUGAGCCAGACACUUUGGCCCAGGUUUUCUUCAGCCUGUAGAUCGCGCUUCUGUUCAAGGCCGAGGUGAUCUCCAGCACCCCGUUGUAAUCGUGCAGACAGCGGCAGAUGUCAGCUACCGCCACCCACUUCUCAAUCGAGUUCGCCCGAGAGCUGACAUCAGCGUAGUUCAUGAUUUGGGAGGCUACUAGGUUACUCAUCUGGCACAGAGCCAAAAGAAGGUAAGAUUUUACAGGUUUGAAAUUUGUUAACACGAAAAAAACUCUCCCAGCAAUGAAGAGGAUCUAUUUCUGUAGGCGGUAACCUCAAAAACAUCAUGCCUCAGUUGGGGCCCCAUCUUUCCUAGGUGAGUUUUCCUGCUCUCUCCACCAUCCCCCUGCUGUGCUUCCUUGGAGAAUAAGCACAUAGUGACCGGCCAGCUUUCUGAGGCGGCGGGCUGCUCCCCCACCUUCUUCUCAAUGGUCCAGGCAACUGGAAAAUGAGACUUCUUCCUUCCCAAAUCCAUACAAAUAGAUCUGUGGCGCCUUAGUACAAAGUAAGCGCUCAGUAAAUGUGACUUUUGAAACCCAGGUCCGCUUCCCAGAAAGUCAGAAACAGUGUAGGUCCAACCGCUACGGCUCUUCUCCAAGUGGAUGUUGUGUGGAGGACGAUAGGACUCUACUAAACCUCAGCAGCGGGGCCUUAGCUUGGCAGCCUGUCAGGAGGGUUGGUGCCCUUCCGGGGGCUUUGAUUUCUGUGACCACAAUGUCCCGGGGCCCAAGAAGAGAGGGGAGCUGGAGCCAACCUGGCUUCCCUGGGAUCAACAGGUGCGGAUCGCAGCUAAUGAGAUGGUUCCCUCAGAGGGGAGGUCCGCCCAGAUUGGCUGGGAAUAUGCUAGCUAUGCACCGCCUGGGGUGGGAAGCCUGGAUCGGCCAGAUAUCCUGGAAAAUUGGCACCCUGGAGAUCAUUUCUUUUGCGAGAUGGGACCCCCUCCCACCCACACUGUGCUAUGCCCACUUUGUGAGGGCCAGUAAUGCCAUGAGGAACCCCCUAGAAAUAUACUAGAUACUAGUAAAGAUACUGGAAAUAUAAGUAUCCCCUACUGUUGACCUAGAAUAGAGCUCAGUGACCCCCUUGGGCUGAGUAAGCGUGACUGACCUAUAGGUGUGUCCCUUAAGGACCUGCUGCUCGGUGUUUACCUGCGUUAUCCUCAAAAACAGGUUACAUCGGGUUUACCCAUGUUUCUUUCUCUUUGACAAAGCUGUGUUCUAGGUGUUAGUGUUGGGGCUCAUGGCCAGAGAACCCUGAUGUCUUCCCAGUGAGUUGGGACAGCCACGAGUGGCUUCAAGGAGCCACUGUGUUGAAUGUUGGCAACCUGAUCCUUUCUGUACGGGUUUCUGCUCCUCGGAUAUUGUGAACCAGAAGGCUAAAUAAAGACUCUCACAUUCUUAUC